GCCUCGUCAAUUACACUUCCACUGGGCGACUGAAACUGAAGCCUUCGUUCCUUUAACUAUAUUCCUGGUACCUUCACCUCCUAAUGUCUCUGCUCCUAUUUACUCUUUAUUUCUCCAAAUUCAGUGACCUAUUCAGCAGACGCUGCCUCUUUGCCUUGCACACAACCAGGCCCUGGUGCUGGCUGGAGCCCGCAGCCCUGGCAGGACCCGAGCGAGCCACCUGCCCGCCGCCCCGCGCUCCUCACCGAUCGCUUUCCCUCCAGCUACAGGCCGGGUAAAAUUGCCUGUGUGAAAUUUCAUAUGACUGCCGCUCCUGCCACUUCUCCCGAAGGCAGCUAAUGAUAUCGAGGGCGCAUGCCGAGCAUACCUCGUUUAAUCUCGGCUCCCUCACCUAAGAGGCACAUUUCACACCUCCCAUCCCACCGCCUGGCUAAGCGCUCACACCGGGCGUUCAGGGCCAGACAAAGUCCGGGACUUUGGGGAUCUCUCGGGCGCUCUGCUCCGAGGCAGCGGGGCUGUUCCCGCAGGAACCCCGCCACAAAGCGCCCACCACCCCACCCCGGGAGGAGGCGCGCAGGGACGCCCCAGCCGAGCACAAAGGCAGGCACCAAGAACCCAGCGGGGAGGGAGCGGGGCCGGGCACACGGCCUCCCCGCGGCGCCACACAAAGCCAGGCAGCGGCAGCCCGGCAGCAACAGGCCGGCAGCAGCACAGCGCCAAGGCCUUUCCACCCCCCAGUGAGAAAAUGCAGAGAGGGCAGCUGAGGAGCUGUAUGGAGGAGCAAGCAGCUACAGAGGGAUGUGCCGGCUGGGAGCCACGUACAGGCAAGCGCAAGCACAGAAAUGUCUCCCUAGCAUGAGCCUACUGCCUUGGGAUGGCCUGGAGUCUUCUACAAUGCAUUAGUCUCUACAGCCACAGCCAACUUCUUACCACAUCUGAAGAGUUUCAAAAAGGAAACUAGCAAGCCACCAUAGCACUGAGGUAGAACCACAACAAAACCUGGGGCAAUGGCAACUGCACGAAUGGAAGUCUUUAACUACUGCAAAAACCCUAUGCAAUCUCCAGUGAGUCCGGUGUCACUUCCAGCAGUCUUUUCUCUCCUAUUAUAAGCUGACCAAAGAAGGUGCCACAGUUAAACCACAACGGCCUGUUGAAAUGAAUGAGGUACUCCCACAAGAGAAAGUAAAUUUUAUCCCUCCCAGAACUUGAUUGGGGAACAAAAUGGCAAACAACUGCUUACUGCCAUGAACCGUACUGAGUACGUCUCACAGCAGACUGAACGCUGGACUGAAAUUUGUACAGACUUCUCUGAGGUUAUUGGGAGCAGAGAAAGGCCAUCAGACAUCCUGUAGCAGCAGCUGAGCCGGAGCUGGUAAUAUCCUUGCCUGUCAUGGCUUUAGUGAUGGUUAUAAAGGAGGAAAGGUUCCAGAGGUCUCCUUCAAAGAGCUUACAACAUUUAGCAAGCAACCAUACUGCUAGCUUGAGCCUUGUUGUCCAGAAGUACUUUAAGGUCUCAUCUUGUGCAUUUUCAGGGCGCAUUAAAUAUCAUAUUAAAAUGUCCCCCCUGAGAUGUGAUAAGUGACCCUGCAGGGCCUUAGUCUGCAACCAGUGCCAUCGUCUUGCGCAGACACAUCAUCUUGCUCACCCAGUCUCGGAAGGGAGGCUGCAUGGAAACAGAUACAAGAACAUGAAAGGCAAGAAAAGAAGCACAGCAUUGGAUCUAACAUUUUAAAUUAGCCAGAGAAGAAAGAAAGAAAGAAUGUCAACACAAUUCCAGAAUGAGCUAAAAAUAAACCUAAAGGUUUAUUUUUAGAUGUGCCAUGCUAUCCAGUAACAGCUCAGCUUUAUGGCAUGUAGAAAUAGGAUCUAGAUUCUGAUUUUGGUUAUAUUGCCGGGAGUUUUCCAUUGACUUCAAAGAUGCUUAAUAUUUUCACCAAAAAAAAUUGAUCAGAAUCUGGCCAUAGAUCUCCUUCAUGUGAUGCAUUUACAUGUGAGUUUUAGUGUGUGUGGGGGGAAUAUUUUAAAUUAUGAACCAAUAUACUAUCUUGCUUUUUUUUUUUUUAUAUAAUUUUCAAUGAUUUUGUGGGUUUUGAAAAUGAACAGUGCUAUAUGUAUGCUAAGCAUUAUUAUGUAUUAUAUAAAUGCAUAAUGUCAACCAUUCUAUUUUCAUCUUUGCCCACAGCAUGGUCAUUAUAUAUCUGUAGUAGGAAGAAAUGCAACACUGUAUUUAAUAAAGAGAUCUGAUAUGCUUGGCAUGAAGCAUGGGUCAGAAGAUCUCACUGGAGUGCUAAACCAAUUUUCCAGUAAGGUCUGCAAGCCCAGCUUUGAGAACACCAGAGUUUGUUCCAGCUGCAAAAAAGCAGCACAUUACAAGUCCACCCGACCAAAUCUUAAGGCCUUCUGGUCAUUUGUUACAGAGCUCUUACUGGAAACAAAACUCGCCGUAGUUUAAUCCUGAUGGAUAAAAAGCAGCUGAGCACGCACCCUUCCCUCUGAUUUCCAUAGCAGUUGUUGCUGAGUAAGGGCUGGAUAGGGCUCCUGCUCCCGCAUCAGGACUGCUGACACGAGCAUGUGGGAGGAAGAUGAAGCUGCGCGAGGGCAGACUUCACUUCAGGAGCUGGUCCUUUCUUCUUUCACACGGAUGGGAGUGGUCACAGCGCGCUUUCCUGCCACAUCAGUCUCAACAGAUCCUUGCACAACUUGGCCUGUUUUAAGCUUUUAACAAGGGUGUAGGAGUUCAGAAAAAACUACCUCCCUUCCCCCAAGAAAAAUUUAAUUGCAAAGGUUUGUUUUGAUGUAGCAUGUACAGUAAACUUGAAUCACUGAAAGUGAA